CAGGACCCCAGGAUCAUGACCUGAGCUAAAGGCAGACACUCAACCACUGAGCUACCCAGAGAAUCCUUAAUGAAGAGAUCCGACUCUAGAUCAUCUGCAUAUAACAGCAGUCUUACUUUCCUGCUCCAUAUGUGACAUGCUUAACUAUAAACUAUUAGCUAAAUGUCUAGAUGCAUGCCUCCUUCAGCAGCAGCCAUUUUCAUUGUAUGAACCCUAAAUCUUGGGCGAUCUCAGCUGGUACUCAAGCUUCUCAUUCCUUAUAUGGCUUAUCAGAAUUCAAGACUCUCUGAUGACUGACCUAUUGUGGACCUAUGGACAUGAAAUGUCCAUUUUUAGAGAUAAUCAAGUUGAAAUGAGGUCAUUAAGAUUAAAUGAUCCAAAAUGAUGGUAUCCUUAUUAAAAAGGGGAAAUUAAGAUACAGACAGGCACUGAGAAAAGAUGAUGUGAAGAAACACAGCAAAAAUAUGGUCAUCUAUAAGCCAACGAUGGUCAUCAACAAGCCAAUGAGUACCUGAAGCUACCAGAAGACUGUCAUCAUUCCAAGCAGCCCAGAAACUAAAGUUGUGCCACACAGAUUAUAAAGAAGAUAUUUACUUCAAUAUCUCUCUUGAGCUAAUGGUCUCUGCCUGGCCAUCGAAUAUUCAACCUAUCUGCAGUAUGGCAUGGUGCAAGGAGGGCCAGUUUGGUAGCUCAAAACACUGGCUACCCCAUUCAUUACAUGUGUAUCCCUGGGCAACACUGAACUUCACUGGACUCCCUUGGUUUUCCCUCCAACAAAGGUACCAUGUAAAAGCAGUAAAAAAUAGCUUAGCCAAGCCGAGAGCUCCUGAAGGGUAAGCCAUUUCUCUGCCUCGCCCAGCUACAAGGUGGAGGCCAUCCUUAAAACGGAAAUGCCUACUGUAAUGACUCACAGAGAGAAAAGGCCAUGUGAGGACACAACAAGCAGGUAGCAGUCCACAAGCCAGGAAAAGAGAUCUCACCAGAAACCAAGCUUGCUGGUACCUUUUAUCACAAUGAGUUCACUCUAAAGUACUCGCUGACUCCAGAGGUUCCACAAAAAGUCCUUACACAGUUGCCCAGGUGGUGACAUGAACGAAGGCUAUUCCUGGGCCAAACAGCAUGGGACAUUUCUUAUCAAGGUCACUGCCAAAUGCCCAGCCUGCCAAGAGCAGAGUCUGAUGCCGAACUCUAAAUAUGGCAUUAUCUCCUGAGGAGACCAGGCAGCCACUCACUGGCAGAUUAAUUUAUUAGACAACUUCUACCUGGAAUUUUGCUUACUGGAAUUGAUACCUACUAUAGAUAUGGGAUUCCCUCCCUGGCCUCUAGUCUCUUCAUCAGCUGCUCCCAGC